rnacentral:tRNA from 1 species
GGAGGGGUGGCAGAGCGGCUCAAUGCACCGGUCUUGAAAACCGGCGUCCGAAAGGACACGUGGGUUCGAAUCCCACCCCCUCCG